GUCCACGCCCUAACGAUGUCUACUAGUUGUCGGGUUUAAUUAACUUGGUAACGCAGCUAACGCGUGAAGUAGACCGCCUGGGGAGUACGGUCGCAAGAUUAAACUCAAAGGAAUUGACGGGACCCGCACAAGCGGUGGAUGAUGUGGAUUAAUUCGAUGCAACGCGAAAACCUUACCUACCCUUGACAUGGAUGGAAUCCUUGAGAGAUUGAGGAGUGCCCGAAAGGGAACCAUUACACAGGUGCUGCAUGGCUGUCGU
rnacentral:rRNA from 1 species